AAAGAGCGAGGUACGGUGCAGUGGGUUAGGGUACCUCAGCGGGCCCAUGCUAAGGCAACCUUCCCUGCAAGGUACCAGCCGUAGGUCUAGUAUAGCAUAGAGUUUAUUCUAUUGAAGGGGGGUUGAGAAGGGAGUAGAGACAGAGAAAGAGAGAGGGGAGAGAUAGAAUGAGAGAAAGAUAUGGAGCUGGAACAAAGAGACAAAGAGAAAACGCUGGCCAGGAACAUGGAGGGGGCAGGAGAGGGAGAAAAGAGUCAGAGAGAGCAAAGGGGGUCAGAGAGAGAAAGUCAGAAACUUUCCUUUCCUUUCUUUCUUUCCUUUUCUUUUCUUUUUUCUUUCUUUCUUUUUUUUAGGGUGUCUAUGACCAAGGCUAGCCUGCAACUCAUCAUGUAACCCAGGCCUGCCCCAAACUUGAAGCUUCUGCCUCCCAAGUACGGAGUCUAGAGAACGGCCACGCCUGGCUGCUGUCUAGGCUUCUGUGGGAGUUUGAGACGGAUGGAGUCAGGGGUGCAACUUACUGCGUGAGCAGUGAGUACCAGGGGGACAGAUGAACGUCCACAAACGCCUUAGCCUUUGGGAGCCGUGGGUACCCGGAGGAGCCCCGCACCCCGUCUGGAAGAACCAGAACGCAGAUCGAGCCUCCGGCUCUCACCAGGUGGCCACAGGUGGCCCGCCUCCUGGUUUUGGCGGGGGAGCCAUCGAGACAGCCCCACCGCGCACAUUCUGGCUGGGCCAGGCGCGCUCACACGGCUCCGACAUGGUGUGAAUACACUCUUGUGUCUCUUUGCCAUCUGCUGCUGUCAUUAAAAAAUUACAUUUCCAUCUGUUUUCACACUCCCCCGCCCCGUCUCUCUUCCUGCAGGAAAAGACAUGAAUCCCAAGUGUUGUGAU
rnacentral:lncRNA from 1 species